rnacentral:rRNA from 1 species
GACGAACGCUGGCGGCGUGCUUAACACAUGCAAGUCGAACGGUAAGGCCCUUCGGGGUACACGAGUGGCGAACGGGUGAGUAACACGUGGGUGAUCUGCCCUGCACUUCGGGAUAAGCCUGGGAAACUGGGUCUAAUACCGGAUAGGACCACUGCCUGCAUGGGUGGUGGUGGAAAGCUUUUGCGGUGUGGGAUGGGCCCGCGGCCUAUCAGCUUGUUGGUGUGGUGAUGGCCUACCAAGGCGACGACGGAUAGCCGGCCUGAGAGGGUGACCGGCCACACUGGGACUGAGAUACGGCCCAGACUCCUACGGGAGGCAGCAGUGGGGAAUAUUGCACAAUGGGCGCAAGCCUGAUGCAGCGACGCCGCGUGAGGGAUGACGGCCCUCGGGUUGUAAACCUCUUUCAGCACCGACGAAGCGCAAGUGACGGUAGGUGCAGAAGAAGGACCGGCCAACUACGUGCCAGCAGCCGCCGUAA